UUAUAAACAAGUAUAAGUAACCUAGAAACAGUUUCCACAGUGAGCCAGACUUAUACGAUGGCAUUUUAGGCUAUCUUCUUAUGCUGGCCAAAUUUUAUGGCAGACGUUGACUGAAAUACAUAUAAUGCCAAAACCUCUAAUAUGGACCAAGACAUUCCCUUGGUUUGGUUCUGGUAUAGCUGAAGAAGCCUCAGUCCAUUUGUGUUCUCCCUAUUCAAACACAGACCAGACAUAAGGGCUCGGAGGUGAUUACUGUUUGCCAUCAGACAUGAACUUGUGGGCUGAAAUGAAGGACUGGCUCAUAACCAGCUGACUCUAUCUUGGAUUGUGACUUGGUCACUGUCAUCACCAACUAUUAUAUGAAGAAUCAGUUGUCCUGGCUCCAAGAAGGAAAUGCCAUGUAGUACCUUAGCUACUAACAUGCCAGAGGAUCCUGUAUAUGCAGCCCAAUGAAGCCAUGGCCUGUAUCAUCAGCGUUCCCAUUCAACCUGUUGGUCCUUGGUUUAUACCUUUAUCUUUUCAAUGAAAACACUUUCCUUCUUGUUGGAAAAGACAAAUAAUUCUAAAUCUGAUAAAACAUUAAUAAGCUCAGGGCUACCCCAAAUUCCUUCAUUGCAAUAUACAAAAUAAACUCAUGAUCAACCAA